rnacentral:lncRNA from 1 species
GCCUUCGAAACCUGACCGUGGUCCCACGCUGUCCAGUCCCCCUCAUCCCUGGCCGGUGUCCCCACUCACCAUAAGGACCCUCCACUGGGGCCACGAGGGGCACGUUCACACUGACCAUGGCCAAGCGAGCCCAGCUGGACACCCGGGGGCAUGGAGGAGCCGGAGCCCACAGCCAGCAGCAACGGCGCCACCAGAAGCCAGUCCACCAGGAAGGCAGUGAGCGAGGCCAGCUGCCACCACCUGGUUAUCUUAUUGAUUCUUCUAAUCACCCAAGGUUUCCAAGAGACUUGUAAGAAGAUGGUGCCUCACUUCCCUCCCAUCAAGCUGAUUGGCCAGUUUGGGAGGAGGAGCUGCACAUGCUCAGCUUAUCCCUCCAGUCUGG